rnacentral:lncRNA from 1 species
AAGGAAGACCAUGCGCGCCUGAGGGCCCUGAACGGCCUCCUCUAUAAGGCACUGACAGACCUGCUGUGUACCCCUGAAGUGAGUCAGGAGCUGUAUGACCUUAACGUGGAGCUCUCCAAGGUGGAUGAAGACCUGAUCAUUGAAGUUCACCAGUUAUUUUUCUCAAGAAUGUGAAUAACAAUGGGAUUUGCACUCAUUAUAUUUUUAGAAUGGCUUCGCAUAAUUUUCAUGCAUCCUGUGGACGAUGAACACAAAUGCAGCUGUGGCCGUGCCUGGCCUGUGUGUGUUGAACGCGUUCCUGCCGUGCGGGAGCCACCUACCCAGCGGAGCCUCAGAGUCUGAGUUCUCAAUGUGAGCCUCAUUUUAUUUUAUUUUAAAAUGCAGUUGUAAACUUUCCCCUUAAACAAUUCAGAAAGCAGCAGUCUUAUGUGGUCUUUUAGAAAACAAACUCAAAUGGAAGAGUGUCCUUGUAUAUUAAUGAACAAAAUUUACUUCUGAAUGUGAGUUUGUUUUUGGUGCUUGGAACCAGCACUUCAUGGAAGAGAACAGCAAAAAGUGAGCAGCAGAGAGAUGGUGGUCCAAGGAGUUAAAAGUUAUUUUAAUCACAGCGGGCAACUUGGGAAGAGUUUCAUGGUGUCAGAAGUCUAUAUGACAGGAAGGGAAGAGAGUACCUCAAAGGAGGAAGGAAGGAGAGAAGAUGUGGUAGGUGAAGUUGUAAUGUGAUUUAAUGAUGGCUGAGAACUUGUACAAAACCCAGAAAAUGAAGAUAAAUUAGAUAUGAAGGAAGAAAAAGGUCAAAGAUGAGAUUGUAAAACUGUGAUACAGACUGGCUGAAAUUGGAGUUUGGGUCUU